AUUGAACGCUGGCGGAAUGCUUUACACAUGCAAGUCGAACGGCAGCACGGGGGCAACCCUGGUGGCGAGUGGCGAACGGGUGAGUAAUACAUCGGAACGUGCCCAAUCGUGGGGGAUAACGUAGCGAAAGCUACGCUAAUACCGCAUACGAUCUACGGAUGAAAGCGGGGGAUCGCAAGACCUCGCGCGAAUGGAGCGGCCGAUGGCAGAUUAGGUAGUUGGUGGGGUAAAGGCUCACCAAGCCAACGAUCUGUAGCUGGUCUGAGAGGACGACCAGCCACACUGGGACUGAGACACGGCCCAGACUCCUACGGGAGGCAGCAGUGGGGAAUUUUGGACAAUGGGCGAAAGCCUGAUCCAGCCAUUCCGCGUGCAGGAUGAAGGCCUCGGUUGGUAAC
rnacentral:rRNA from 1 species